UUUUGUUGAUCUUCAUGCCUUCAAGCUCAUCCAGGUAACAAAAUUUUAAAUUCGAGUAAUUGGCCAAAUGGGUUUGUGAAUUAGACUAGAAUUUUAGGUUAAAUGUUAGGUUAGAAGGUAGAUUGCCUAAUGUAAAUUUAUUAGAAUUAUUAUAUUUAAUUUAAGACUUAAUUGAGGUUGUUAUGGUUUAUUGAUAAAUAUAGGUUUUAAUGGUAUUUCGAGACUACCUGGAUUAGGACCUUGUUGGUGCUAGUUUUGUCAAGUGAGUGAACUUGCCCUAAAAUGUUUUGGGUAGAUGUACAUAUGUUCGAUUGAAUUACUUGAACUGCUUAAAUUGUCUUUUCUGCAAAAUGCAUGGGAACAAGCUUUUAGUGAAAUAUCUUUGUGAUGUGGAACAUGAUUGUAAUGAAACUAUAUACCUCUAUAUGAUGCUGAUAUGUAUGUAACGAUAUAUGAUGUGUAUUGUUAAACAAAAUAAUUUUGUAUAAUGGAUGUAACUGUGCAUGUGCGGA
rnacentral:lncRNA from 1 species